UGGAGCCUGCGGUUUAAUUGGACUCAACGCCGGAAAACUCACCGGGGCGACAGCAAUAUGUAGGUCAAGCUAAAGACUUUACCAGAAUCGCUGAGAGGAGGUGCACGGCCGUCGUCAGUUCGUACUGUGAAGCAUCCUGUUAAGUCAGGCAACGAGCGAGACCCGUGCCCACUGUUGCCAGCAUGUCCUUCGGGACGAUGGGUACUCUGUGGGACCGCCGAUGCUAAAUCGGAGGAAGGUGCGGGCUACGGUAGGUCAGUAUGCCCCGAAUCUCCCGGGCUACACGCGGGCUACAAUGACUGGGACAAUGGGCUCCUACCCCGAAAGGGGAUGGUAAUCUCAUAAACCCAGCCUUAGUUCGGAUCGAGGGCUGUAACCCGCCCUCGUGAAGCUGGAAUCCGUAGUAAUCGCGUUUCAACAUAGCGCGGUGAAUACGUCCCUGCUCCUU
rnacentral:rRNA from 1 species